rnacentral:rRNA from 1 species
AUUGGACGCUGGCGGCAUGCUUUACACAUGCAAGUCGAACGGCAGCACGGGUGCUUGCACCUGGUGGCGAGUGGCGAACGGGUGAGUAAUGCAUCGGAACGUGCCCAUGAGUGGGGGAUAGCCCGGCGAAAGCCGGAUUAAUACCGCAUACGCCCUUAGGGGGAAAGCGGGGGAUCUUCGGACCUCGCGCUAUUGGAGCGGCCGAUGUCGGAUUAGCUAGUAGGUGAGGUAAAGGCUCACCUAGGCGACGAUCCGUAGCUGGUCUGAGAGGAUGAUCAGCCACACUGGGACUGAGACACGGCCCAGACUCCUACGGGAGGCAGCAGUGGGGAAUUUUGGACAAUGGGGCGCAAGCCUGAUCCAGCCAUGCCGCGUGAGUGAAGAAGGCCUUCGGUUGUAAGAC